rnacentral:rRNA from 1 species
AUUGAACGCUGGCGGCAUGCCUAACACAUGCAAGUCGAGCGAGCGGCGGACGGGUGAUUAAUGUAUGGGGACUGCCCGAUAGAGGGGGAUAACUACUGGAAACGGUGCCUAAUACCGCAUACUAUCGGAUAACCCAUAUGGGAUUAUCUAGUAGGUGGGGUAAAGGCUCACCUAGGCGACGAUCUCUAGCUGGUCUGAGAGGAUGAUAAGCCAAAGUGGGACUGAGACACGGCCCAGACUCCUACGGAGGCAGCAGUGGGGAAUAUUGCACAAUGGGCGCAAGCCUGAUGCAGCCAUGCCGCGUGUAUGAAGAAGGCCUUAGGGUUGGAAAGUACUUUCAGCGGGGAGGCGUUACCCGCAGAAGAAGCACCGGCUAACUCCGUGCCAGCAGCCGCGGUAAUAC